AUCCUAUGUGGCCGCCCCCGCCAUCCUCGUGUGUGCCCCACUCUCCGUCGAUGGGCGACUCCUUCAUGGUCGCCCGUCAUCCUCACCCCGCUCCCCGCAGUCCCCUUCCAUCGACGACACCAUCCUCGCCCCUGCCACGUUCUCUGUAGAUGGAAGGCACCAUUCAUGGAUCCUGCGCGGCCGCCCCCACCAUCCUCGCGUGCAGCCCAGGGUUAUAUAGCAACGCCCGCAGAGCACACGCCCCCGUCGCCCGCUUCCCUCCCUCCUCGCCUGCGUUGUGCAGCGUGACACCUCUCCUCCUCGUCCUGCAGCUGCAGACCUGCAUUGUUGCCUCCUCGCUCCCCGCCUCGAUCUCCACCACCAUAGCCACCGCGCGUGCCCAUGGACUAUAGGCCUAUAGCUAGCACCCGCGACCUGGCAGAUGACGAUGAGGAGGCUCCUUCGGUGCGUGUCCACGGGGGCGUGUAGCGUGGUGCCGGGCGUCGUGGCAGAUUCGAUGCCGGCGUUGCCGGUGGCCACUAGUGGGGCACGUGCCGGUGGAGGUCGACGCGGAGGGGGGGAUACACAACGGUUAGUCGUCCCUGUCGAUCUGCUCUGCUACGUCGCGUCGCGCAGGAGUACGGGUACGUGUGUCAGGGGCUGCUCCACAUCCCCUGCCUCGUGGCGCAUUUCGCCGCCUCCUCGGCACGCUUGUAGGGACCGCCGCCGUCGCCGACCCCGACGGUGGGCUCACGCUCGCUUGCUUCGUCGCAGUCGUCUGAUACUAUGAGGCCGUGGUGGAGGAGGUUACAGCGGCAGCGGUGGACAAUUUGGCUGGUUGGAUCUUAUUUGUGCGCUCGUAUUGUGUGUUUUAUGUAGAGCCAGUAGGACGUGGAGGGUCGCUCUUAGUCGUCAAGAGGUUCGUCUCUUUCUGAUGUGUUUGCAUACAAAUACAAAAGUUUACAGUUUGCCAACGUCGUUCGUUCUAGCAAUUUUCUAUCUACUAAAUCAUAAGCAUAUUAGUUGUUUGGCAUAGUACAUCAAAUGCAGAAUCUAAUUAAUGGACUAGAAAAAAUAUGAUCAGUUGUGCUAUGAAUGGUUUCUCUCUGUUUCCUAGAUGCAGAUCAUGGCUCUUAUUCUUUGCCGGUUUAAAUCGAUUGUAGUGACUUGUUUAGUUCUGAUCUACAGCCUUUUGAGAGAUACAUAUCUGGGUUUGUAUAUUUGUCCAUUUCAUAUGUCAAUGUAUUACCUUGUCAGACAACUUUAAGAUUUCUAAAAUUGCCAAAACGAUUGGAAGAUCAAACAUCGAGAAUUCACUUUCUACAAGUGGAACAAUUGCAUAUCAAUGCAUUGAUCUAUUGACAUGUGCCCAUAUUUCUAUUUAUUUGUCUUCAAGUUCUAGAUAUCUCUCUUAUUCUGAUUUCUGUAGACACAAUUUGCUGCAGAUUUCUGUUUUCAAAUUGUUCCGGUACCAUGUUCCAUUAGCACUAAUAUUUUAUUUUAAUUAAAAAGGAUCUAGCUUAGCAUGAGUGAAAAGAUAUUUAAGUUAGUUUAAAAUAAUCUGACUUAGCAUGAGUGAAAAUACAUGUGAGUCAUUUCUAUGACUUCUACUGUUGAAACAUGUGGUAUGUAGCAUGUCUAAAAUAACAAUAUGCAACUUUCAUGAAUUAUGCAAUUUUUAAGCAGCAUGACAUGUGAGGACUGGUUUUUCUGUUUCAAUGAAGGGGGCACCACGACAGGUGGUGGCGGGCGCGGGGGUGGACACGAAGGCAAUUGGGUUUGCCCUGACGUGAGUUACACAAGAACAACUUGAUCAUGCUAAAGAAGCAACCAAAUCUGCAAUUUUGAUGAACUUGGAUCAAGGGUACAAUGUUCUUGCUCCUAAUCAAAUCCUAAUUGUAUGACCUGUUUCCCUAAAGUGUUCUUUACAGUACAUACUUUUCCUAUUUUGUAAUCCAUAGCAUCUAAAGAUAAAGACAAGUUUAAAAUAGGAGAUGUGACUAGGUUGAUUAUUAUUGAAACAAUGUUCACUCUCCACUAUUAUGGUGAAUUGUUAAAUGUAUUUACAUGUCGAUGGAGCGUCAGAAUGUUCAGUUGUACCACAUAUUUGGGUGUGGAUAACUUUCACUGCUGUUAUGUACAUAAUAUUGUGUGGCUGAACUUUUAAAUUACCAUUUGUACUUUAUUGUG